CAGUAGCCGCGGUAAUACGUAGGUCCCGAGCGUUGUCCGGAUUUAUUGGGCGUAAAGCGAGCGCAGGCGGUUAGAUAAGUCUGAAGUUAAAGGCUGUGGCUUAACCAUAGUACGCUUUGGAAACUGUUUAACUUGAGUGCAAGAGGGGAGAGUGGAAUUCCAUGUGUAGCGGUGAAAUGCGUAGACAUAUGGAGGAACACCGGUGGCGAAAGCGGCUCUCUGGCUUGUAACUGACGCUGAGGCUCGAAAGCGUGGGGAGCAAACAGGAUUAGAUACCCCCGUAGUCCCUGUCUCUUAUACC
rnacentral:rRNA from 1 species